UACGUAGGGGGCAAGCGUUGUCCGGAAUUAUUGGGCGUAAAGAGCGCGUAGGCGGUCCGGUAAGUCGGUUGUGAAAGUCGGGGGCUCAACCCUCGGAUGCCGAUCGAUACUGUCGGACUAGAGUACGGAAGAGGCGAGUGGAAUUCCUGGUGUAGCGGUGAAAUGCGCAGAUAUCAGGAGGAACACCGAUGGCGAAGGCAGGUCUCUGGGCCGAUACUGAUGCUGAGGAGCGAAAGCGUGGGGAGCGAACAGG
rnacentral:rRNA from 1 species